rnacentral:rRNA from 1 species
UGCGUAGGCGGGUCUUUAAGUCAGGGUGAAAUCCUGGAGCUCAACUCCAGAACUGCCUUUGAUACUGAGGAUCUUGAGUUCGGGAGAGGUGAGUGGAACUGCGAGUGUAGAGGUGAAAUUCGUAGAUAUUCGCAAGAACACCAGUGGCGAAGGCGGCUCACUGGCCCGAUACUGACGCUGAGGCACGAAAAGCUGGGGGAGCAAACA